rnacentral:rRNA from 1 species
AUUGAACGCUGGCGGCAUGCCUUACACAUGCAAGUCGAACGGCAGCACGGGGCAACCUGGUGGCGAGUGGCGAACGGGUGAGUAAUGCAUCGGAACGUACCUUCCAGUGGGGGAUAACGUAGCGAAAGUUACGCUAAUACCGCAUAUUCUGUGAGCAGGAAAGCAGGGGAUCGCAAGACCUUGCGAUGAUUGAUCGGCCGAUGUCAGAUUAGCUAGUUGGUGAGGUAAAGGCUCACCAAGGCGACGAUCUGUAGCGGGUUUGAGAGGAUGAUCCGCCACACUGGAACUGAGACACGGUCCAGACUCCUACGGGAGGCAGCAGUGGGGAAUUUUGGACAAUGGGGGCAACCCUGAUCCAGCCAUGCCGCGUGAGUGAAGAAGGCCUUCGGGUUGUAAAGCUCUUUCGGCCGGGAAGAAAUCGCACGGGCUAAUACCCUGUGUGGAUGACGGUACCGGAAUAAGAAGCACCGGCUAACUACGUGCCAGCCGCCGCCGUAACAC